UACGUAGGGGGCAAGCGUUGUCCGGAAUCAUUGGGCGUAAAGCGCGUGUAGGCGGCUCGAUAAGUCUGCUGUGAAAGUCCAGGGCUCAACCCCGGGUCGGCCGUGCGGACUGGCGGGCUCGAGCACUGUAGGGGCGGGUGGAAUUCCUGGUGUAGCGGUGAAAUGCGCAGAUAUCAGGAGGAACACCGGUGGCGAAGGCGGGUCUCUGGGCCGAUACUGACGCUGAGGAGCGAAAGCGUGGGGAGCGAACAGG
rnacentral:rRNA from 1 species